rnacentral:rRNA from 1 species
UACGUAGGGUGCAAGCGUUGUCCGGAAUUAUUGGGCGUAAAGAGCUUGUAGGCGGUUUGUCGCGUCUGCUGUGAAAUUUCGGGGCUCAACCCCGAACUUGCAGUGGGUACGGGCAGACUAGACUGUGGUAGGGGAGACUGGAAUUCCUGGUGUAGCGGUGAAAUGCGCAGAUAUCAGGAGGAACACCGAUGGCGAAGGCAGGUCUCUGGGCCAUAACUGACGCUGAGACACGAAAGCGUGGGUAGCAAACAGG